AGAGUUUGAUCCUGGCUCAGGAUGAACGCUGGCGGCGUGCUUAACACAUGCAAGUCGAACGAAGCACUCUAUUUGAUUUUCUUCGGAAAUGAAGAUUUUGUGACUGAGUGGCGGACGGGUGAGUAACGCGUGGGUAACCUGCCUCAUACAGGGGGAUAACAGUUGGAAACGACUGCUAAUACCGCAUAAGCGCACAGGAUUGCAUGAUCCGGUGUGAAAAACUCCGGUGGUAUGAGAUGGACCCGCGUCUGAUUAGCCAGUUGGCAGGGUAACGGCCUACCAAAGCGACGAUCAGUAGCCGACCUGAGAGGGUGACCGGCCACAUUGGGACUGAGACACGGCCCAAACUCCUACGGGAGGCAGCAGUGGGGAAUAUUGCACAAUGGGCGAAAGCCUGAUGCAGCAACGCCGCGUGAGUGAAGAAGUAUCUCGGUAUGUAAAGCUCUAUCAGCAGGGAAGAAAAUGACGGUACCUGACUAAGAAGCACCGGCUAAAUACGUGCCAGCAGCCGCGGUAAUACGUAUGGUGCAAGCGUUAUCCGGAUUUACUGGGUGUAAAGGGAGCGUAGACGGCUGUGUAAGUCUGAAGUGAAAGCCCGGGGCUCAACCCCGGGACUGCUUUGGAAACUAUGCAGCUAGAGUGUCGGAGAGGUAAGUGGAAUUCCCAGUGUAGCGGUGAAAUGCGUAGAUAUUGGGAGGAACACCAGUGGCGAAGGCGGCUUACUGGACGAUGACUGACGUUGAGGCUCGAAAGCGUGGGGAGCAAACAGGAUUAGAUACCCUGGUAGUCCACGCCGUAAACGAUGACUACUAGGUGUCGGGGAGCAAAGCUCUUCGGUGCCGCAGCAAACGCAAUAAGUAGUCCACCUGGGGAGUACGUUCGCAAGAAUGAAACUCAAAGGAAUUGACGGGGACCCGCACAAGCGGUGGAGCAUGUGGUUUAAUUCGACGCAACGCGAAGAACCUUACCAAGUCUUGACAUCCCUUGACAGGCAUAGAAAUAUGUUUUCUCUUCGGAGCAAGGAGACAGGUGGUGCAUGGUUGUCGUCAGCUCGUGUCGUGAGAUGUUGGGUUAAGUCCCGCAACGAGCGCAACCCUUAUGGUCAGUUACUACGCAAGAGGACUCUGGCCAGACUGCCGUUGACAAAACGGAGGAAGGUGGGGAUGACGUCAAAUCAUCAUGCCCUUUAUGACUUGGGCUACACACGUACUACAAUGGCGUUAAACAAAGAGAAGCAAGACCGCGAGGUGGAGCAAAACUCAGAAACAACGUCCCAGUUCGGACUGCAGGCUGCAACUCGCCUGCACGAAGUCGGAAUUGCUAGUAAUCGUGGAUCAGCAUGCCACGGUGAAUACGUUCCCGGGCCUUGCACACACCGCCCGUCA
rnacentral:rRNA from 1 species